UACGUAGGGUGCGAGCGUUGUCCGGAAUUAUUGGGCGUAAAGGGCUCGUAGGCGGUUUGUCGCGUCGGGAGUGAAAACACACAGCUUAACUGUGUGCUUGCUUCCGAUACGGGCAGACUAGAGGUAUGCAGGGGAGAACGGAAUUCCUGGUGUAGCGGUGAAAUGCGCAGAUAUCAGGAGGAGCACCGGUGGCGAAGGCGGUUCUCUGGGCAUUACCUGACGCUGAGGAGCGAAAGUGUGGGGAGCGAACAGG
rnacentral:rRNA from 1 species